rnacentral:rRNA from 1 species
AUUGAACGCUGGCGGCAUGCCUUACACAUGCAAGUCGAACGGUAACAGGUCUUCGGAUGCUGACGAGUGGCGAACGGGUGAGUAAUACAUCGGAACGUGCCUAGUAGUGGGGGAUAACUACUCGAAAGAGUGGCUAAUACCGCAUGAGAUCUACGGAUGAAAGCAGGGGAUCGCAAGACCUUGUGCUACUAGAGCGGCCGAUGGCAGAUUAGGUAGUUGGUGGGAUAAAAGCUUACCAAGCCGACGAUCUGUAGCUGGUCUGAGGGGACGAUCAGCCACACUGGGACUGAGAAACGGCCCAGACUCCUACGGGAGGCAGCAGUGGGGAAUUUUGGACAAUGGGCGAAAGCCUGAUCCAGCAAUGCCGCGUGCAGGAUGAAGGCCUUCGGGUUGUAAACUGCUUUUGCACGGAACGAAAAGCCCCGGGUUAAUACCCUGGGGUCAUGACGGUACCGUAAGAAUAAGCACCGGCUAACUACGUGCCAGCAGCCGCAGUAA